UAGAGUUUGAUCAUGGCUCAGAUUGAACGCUGGCGGCAGGCCUAACACAUGCAAGUCGAGCGGUAACACAAGGGAGCUUGCUCCUGAGGUGACGAGCGGCGGACGGGUGAGUAAUGCCUAGGUAUCUGCCCAGUCGAGGGGGAUAACAGUUGGAAACGACUGCUAAUACCGCAUACGCCCUACGGGGGAAAGGAGGGGACCUUCGGGCCUUUCGCGAUUGGAUGAACCUAGGUGGGAUUAGCUAGUAGGUGGGGUAAUGGCUCACCUAGGCAACGAUCCCUAGCUGGUCUGAGAGGAUGAUCAGCCACACUGGAACUGAGACACGGUCCAGACUCCUACGGGAGGCAGCAGUGGGGAAUAUUGCACAAUGGGCGAAAGCCUGAUGCAGCCAUGCCGCGUGUAUGAAGAAGGCCUUCGGGUUGUAAAGUACUUUCAGCGAGGAGGAAAGCUCAAUUGUUAAUAGCGAUUGGGUGUGACGUUACUCGCAGAAGAAGCACCGGCUAACUUCGUGCCAGCAGCCGCGGUAAUACGAGGGGUGCAAGCGUUAAUCGGAAUUACUGGGCGUAAAGCGUACGCAGGCGGUUUGUUAAGCGAGAUGUGAAAGCCCCGGGCUCAACCUGGGAACUGCAUUUCGAACUGGCAAACUAGAGUCCUGUAGGGGGGGUAGAAUUUCA
rnacentral:rRNA from 1 species